rfam:Oryza rufipogon genomic scaffold, chr04
AAAAAGACAAACCCUGAGUUUCCGUGUUCAACGUUUGACUGUCUGUCGUAUAUAAAUUUUUUUUAUAAUUAGUAUUUUAAUUGUUGUUAGAUGAUAAAACAUGAUUAAUACUUUAUGUGUGACUACGGUCAAAUGUUGGACACGAAAACCCAGGGUUUAUCUUUUU